AACCUGAGCAACAGAGCAAGACCCUGUCUCAAAAAAAAAAGCCUCAAUACCUGAAACAGAGCUGGCAUGUGGCAUAUCCUCAGAAACAUUUGCUAAAUGACACCUAGUCUAUAGGAGGAGGACUCAUUCUUAACCAUUAGAUUUAGCCAUGCAGAAGUCAGAUCAAGAGUAAACAGAGCAAGAACAGUUUUGGUGCUGUGAUGGGUCAAAAGCCUGAGUCAGAUUACAUGUAUAUAAAUUACCUAGUAACGAGCAUGACCUCUGUCCAAGCAGAAGGCAAGCAGGGGAGAAGAUUUAGCUGCUCAACUACAGUUAUUCUCUCAACCCAAGCUAAGGUGGUACAAGGAAGAAUGGCAGAUUGGCAGAUUGGGUGGCCAGGAGGCUUCACAGAGACCCCGUUGAGAAUCCAGUAAAACCUAUGGUUCCUCUUUUAAGAAAAAUACAUGGGCACGCACAAAAAAACCUUAGUGUUUGUUUCCCUGGUCUUUGUUUCCACACAUGCCCUGAAGCCCAGCUGUGAUGCAGGUUAAGAAUCUCUACCCUGGAUUCCAAAGUGAUAGGAAGAACAGGAAAUGAUCUAUGGAACUCAGCACUUUUCUUCCAGGGAUUCCUUCAAGGCUCCGUGAUGUGAUGGGAGCUCUGCUGUAAGUAAAGCACUAAUCAGUGAGGAGAGAGAGUAGUUCAUCUUCCAGAAGUUUGCCCUCCACACCCUUCUCCAGUCAUCAGGGAACAAUACCACCAUGCAGGUAGUUCCUCCAGUCAUUACUAGAAAGAAACAACGAAGAGUAGCUUGUUUCAUCUCUUCCCAGACUAGAAGCGAUGGGAACCAUAUGUUUGCAACCUAUAGGGUUUUGUGGCAGCUGUUCACUCACUGCGGUAAC
rnacentral:lncRNA from 1 species